rnacentral:rRNA from 1 species
GAUGAACGCUGGCGGCGUGCCUAAUACAUGCAAGUCGAGCGAAUGGAUUAAGAGCUUGCUCUUAUGAAGUUAGCGGCGGACGGGUGAGUAACACGUGGGUAACCUGCCCAUAAGACUGGGAUAACUCCGGGAAACCGGGGCUAAUACUGGAUAACAUUUUGAACCGAAUGGUUCGAAAUUGAAAGGCGGCUGCGGCUGACACUUAUGGAUGGACCCGCGUCGCAUUAGCUAGUUGGUGAGGUAACGGCCCACCAAGGCAACGAUGCGUAGCCGACCUGGGAGGGUGAUCGGCCACACUGGGACUGAGACACGGCCCAGACUCCUACGGGAGGCAGCAGUAGGGAAUCUUCCGCAAUGGACGAAAGUCUGACGGAGCAACGCCGCGUGAGUGAUGAAGGCUUUCGGGUCGUAAAACUCUGUUGUUAGGGAAGAACAAGUGCUAGUUGAAUAAGCUGGCACCUUGACGGUACCUAACCAGAAAGCCACGGCUAACUACGUGCCAGCCGCCGCGGUAA